GGAAAGACGGUUUACGCUGUCACUUAUAGAUGGGCCCGCGGCGCAUUAGCUAGUUGGUGAGGUAAUGGCUCACCAAGGCGACGAUGCGUAGCCGACCUGAGAGGGUGAUCGGCCACACUGGGACUGAGACACGGCCCAGACUCCUACGGGAGGCAGCAGUAGGGAAUCUUCCGCAAUGGACGAAAGUCUGACGGAGCAACGCCGCGUGAACGAAGAAGGCCUUCGGGUCGUAAAGUUCUGUUGUUAGGGAAGAACAAGUACCAGAGUAACUGCUGGUACCUUGACGGUACCUAACCAGAAAGCCACGGCUAACUACGUGCCAGCAGCCGCGGUAAUACGUAGGUGGCAAGCGUUGUCCGGAAUUAUUGGGCGUAAAGCGCGCGCAGGUGGUUCCUUAAGUCUGAUGUGAAAGCCCACGGCUCAACCGUGG
rnacentral:rRNA from 2 species